AGAACGAACGCUGGCGGCAUGCCUAACACAUGCAAGUCGAACGAGACCUUCGGGUCUAGUGGCGCACGGGUGCGUAACGCGUGGGAAUCUGCCCUUGGGUUCGGGAUAACAGUUGGAAACGACUGCUAAUACCGGAUGAUGACUUCGGUCCAAAGAUUUAUCGCCCAAGGAUGAGCCCGCGUAGGAUUAGCUUGUUGG
rnacentral:rRNA from 1 species